UACGGGGGGGGCAAGCGUUGUUCGGAAUUACUGGGCGUAAAGGGCUCGUAGGCGGCCAACUAAGUCCGACGUGAAAUCCCAAGGCUUAACCUUGGAACUGCGUCGGAUACUGGAUGGCUUGAAUUCGGGAGAGGGAUGCAGAAUUCCAGGUGUAGCGGUGAAAUGCGCAGAUAUCAGGAGGAACACCGGUGGCGAAGGCGGGUCUCUGGGCCGAUACUGACGCUGAGGAGCGAAAGCGUGGGGAGCAAACAGG
rnacentral:rRNA from 1 species